AAACCAGAACAUUUCCACAUGCCACUGAGCCAGGCCCCAAGCUCCCAGAGGACAGGAGCUCCUUUAUUGAGACCUUGCCCUGUGUCUCUCUUCAUCUGGCUGUUAACUUGUAUCCUUUACAGAAUCUUUUAUUAAACUGAUAAAUGUUAAGUGUUUUCCUGAGUUCUGUGAGCUGCUUAGCAAAAUUAACCAAACCUAAGGUGGAGAUCGUGGGAACCUCCGAUCUGUAGCCAAUUGGUCAGAAGGACAGGAUCAUCUUUAUGCUGAGUCUCAGGCACCGACCUGGAAUUCUCCUAGAGAAAAACUGGACAUUCAUAGGGUGUAGUGGAUAAGGCACAGCAUCUGUGAUCAGAACCUCUAGAUACAAACAAGCACAGAUGUGACUUACAGAACUUGCAGAGCAGACAGCUGCAGCUGAGACCCGGAUGGCGACGAUGGCAGGCAGAUGGGGUGAAUUCUGCAGGACUGGGCUUUGUAACAACGGAGACCAUUUUCCUGCAGAUUCAACAUCAAACAAACUAGAGAAGUGACAGGACUCAGGAACGGGGAUGAACUGAAUGAAUGGCAAGAAUUGUGCAGGGACCCGUGGCGAUGAUGUGACAUGCGCCGAGAAGAGAACCAAUCCAAC